rnacentral:lncRNA from 1 species
AGCCUUUGCUGUGGCUGUUUGCUAUUUCUAUAGGUCUGCUGGUAUCCGUAUAACAAGGAUGUGAACUUGGUUGUGAGUCUGUUCUUCCUCCUCACUGAAAUGGUGCAGACCAAAGUUGUGUAUGGCCUUGUAUUGCCUCUAGUGUUGACGACCACAAGUGCACUGUUUGUAUCUAAUUCUCCAGGUUUACAGCCAUUUGGGUGGAGUUAGCACGGUCCUGCCAUCCUCCAGAAAGCUGGUGUUGGAUACGAGGUCAUCUGUCACCACGAGACAGCCUGACAUCUCCUGAGGCUGCAUGGUUGGGAGAGAUGUGGACAGAAGAACAAGCUGUUCUGCUUCAGUUCACUGAAGCAAAUUUAUGAUGCAGGCACCAAAGCCAGCUCAGUCCUGAAAUGAAUCUGCUGCUUUACAAAAAGCAAAGGUGUUGGGGCUGUGCUCUGCUAUAGGGAAAUCCAGAAUGGGUGCAUUCAUUGUCUGCCCUCAGCAGUGCUUUAUCCAGGUGACCUCUGUCCCUUUUCCUGCUGAUGUACUCCACUUGCAGCAUCACUUGAAUAAUUUCAGUAUCCUGUCUGAGGAGUUCUCUUGCUGAAGUUUUCCCUUAUUUGCCUUUGUAUUGUCUCCCCCCACCUCUCUCUUUGUGGAUGAUGUCAAGAGAAGCUAUUUUCCUCUCUCUGUUGCAGUUGAUGCCGAUGCUUUUUCAGGAGCCCAAGGGAUGCUGAGAAAAAUGAGAAAAGUUACAGAAAAAGCACUUUUAUGUAAUGUAUCUCCAUGCUGGGUGGAGAUCUCUGGUGUGCCUGAUCCGAGGGGAAGAGGUUAUCCAUGCGCUGCUCAGCGAUGCUCUGUUCCCCUUUCCAUUGCUCUCUGUUCAGCACAUUCCUGGUGGGGGUGAUGCCAACUUGUCACGAGUCACAUCUAUGUACAUCUCAUAAAGGAAAUCUGUUAGCAGCCAAUACUUUUCACUGAACUCUGUGAGAUUUUCUUCUUUUAACUUUGAAGUCUUUUAAUUCUCAGAUGCUGUCCCCUGUAGCAGAUUGGUAAAUAAGCAGCUCCAGGUUUUCUAGGCUGAUCUCUUUGAGGUACAGCACUCAGGGUAGAGCGUUUGUACAAAAGAGAACAUCUUUGUUUUGCUUUCUGAUUUAUGGUAGUCCUUGCAAGCCAAAUUCUACUUAGGUUAGAGAGGUAUGGUGGAGAAAAUUGCUGAAGAAGGCAGCCUUUCGGGACAAGUUAGAAAUAAAUAUUUCAUAUAAAUGUUAAUGUUUGUUCUUGCCUCAACUGUGAAAUGGGUGUGAUUGUCCCAUAAUUUAGAGAGAAUAAAAUUAAAUAGGUUGAAAAAGGUACAUACGCAUACUAUAGACUUUGCUUGCAGCUGCAGCAGGCACUGAAGGAUCUUUAUAGACCUUUGUUCAGUCCUUUAGGCCCAACUGGCUCUGUCUGAAAGUGGCUGCGGUCAGAUCCAUCAAAGCAGCUUGCAGGAAACCCCACAAUAAUUCCUGCCUCAAAGGAAUAAUAUUUCUUUCAGCUUCCCCUUCUGGUUAGAGGCUGGUUUGCAUUAUGGUACAUCAGCAGGUACAGGGAACACUGUGUAUUUAAACUAUCUUUGAUCUCUCCCAUUGAUCUCAGUUUAAAUCGGUGUAGUGACAGCAAGAAGUGAGGCUGUUGUGGUUUUUUGUUUGUUUUUGUGUUUUAACUUCUUUUAAUGCUCUAUGUGAGUUGUUUGGUGAUGGGGGCAUGGACUAAUUGGCCAAAAAAAUAGUAGCAGACCUGACAAAUCAGUUUAUUGCUAUCUGGAGUGGCAUUAUGGCUCUGAACACUGAAAGGCAGCUCUCUGAAUCACUGUCAGGUUGCUGCAGUAGAGAAGCUACUUACUAGGGCAAAACAGUAGUUCAUUGUAAUGCCUGGGUAGACUUUAUUUAGAGACCUGAGAGUCUCAUUUCAUGUACAGCAACAUUUCAAGGGGUAAAAAGACUACAUUUAUAUGGCUAUUUUAUUAAAAUUUAUGCUGGCAUUGCAGUGUUGGAGCUCCAGUGGAAGCUGAGUUAGCUCUUUCAUUCAAAGUCAUGGUUCAGGCUGCUCAUAACUUAGUAAAAAAUUACCUCUGAAGAAGAGGUUUCUUGUUCUGGAUCUCAGCCUGCCUUGUUCUUUUAAGUGCUUCAGGACUGCUCUGUGCUAUCAUGUGUUUUCAGGAGAUGGAAGAAAGUGUUUUGCUGGUGAGGCUUUCCUUGUAUUUAAGGCUUGAUCCUAUUUUAUUUUCCUUAGCUAUCGCAGAGAUUUGGGCUGGGGCUUUUGCUCCUCCUGUAGGGAAGAGUGACUCUCUGCCCAGAAAGGGCAGGGAAGCAGACAGUCACGCUACACUUCUGCUAUCCAGCAGCAGGGCUUGGGGCAGUGCCUGGAGCUCAGCUGUCCUCAUGUCUCAGUCCAUACUUUAGCCUCAAGUUGUUAGCCCCAACCCCACAGAUGUAAUGGGGAAUGGCUGAAGUCCUCCCAGCUUGGCCUCAUGCUUUUGUGCUUGUGAUGUGCAUGGUUCAUAUCAAAAUGGGAGUUUGUUUCACUUCUGUCCCACGCUGCUAAUAAAAAGCAAUAAUAAUAAUAAAAAAAAGCCACUUAGAGUUGGAAAUAAAGAUGACCUCCUUUUGCUUAAAUGGUAUGCAGCCCGGAUUGAAUUGCAUCUGAAAUGUGCUUGCUUGCCAUUAAUGAUCUGUGUUUUUAUAGCCUCUUUGCUCAGGGGAUGGUGUGAUUUGAAUUUAUUGUUGCAAGUGCCUCUUUGAGGAACUACUGAUACUGUCUUACUGGUUGAGAAGAAGUUAGUUUCUUUUUUCUCUGUCCUUGUUUUUUCAUGUUUCCAUCUGUUCAGUCCAAGCGAGCCCCAUGCCCACACCUUUGCUCCUACUGGCCUGAGUGACACCAGGGGAUGGCUGAUGGAGAUGGCCUCAGAGAUGUGAGCCAGAUGCCUUCACUGUUCUCUUGAUGCUUGAGUCUGGCAAAUCCCUGCCAGGAUGGCUUUGAAAUUCUGGCCCAGAGCUACUUGGAAAACCUUGCUACAAGCAUGCCUGGCUAGAAGUGCUUGAAGGGCUUUCCAACAUCUGGUCCAAAGUCUGGAGGAUUUGGGAGAUGGCCCUCAUGGAUACUGAAGCUUCAGCAGAGUUUGCUUUCUUGUCCUACGACAGCCCCAUGUGAUUUCAUUUCCAUCUUAAUGAAUACAGCAGUCACCUCUGAAAUCCUUGGCCCGUAAUAUUCCUUGCUAGACAGUUAAAAGCUUCCUGCCUGAAGGCCUCCUGUAGUUUUCGUCGGUGUAAGUUGUCCUCUACUUUGCAUCUUAGAUUGUCCUUAACUUAGCUGGCCCCAAGCAUCUGGCUUGCCUCACCUCACAAGUACUGAGGCGUGGGUGAGCAAUCCCCUGUUCAGAAGUGCCCCAGCAGUGCAUGUGUCCACACAAAGCAUGUGCUUUGCUGGCAUCUCUGUAGAAUGGAAGAGCCAGUCAGUGGGGGCAGGAGGUAGGAUGUGUGUGUGGUGGAAGCAUCAUGGAAGCUCCUGCAGGGCAAGAGGUACUUUGGUUCAUUCCUUUCACUGACAGCUACAAUAUGGGUGGCCUUAUUUUUUUGCUCAUGGCUAUGUCGUCCAGGAUUAUGGUCAGAAAGACAGACUGAAUUACACUCUCCCUCUGCCCCGGAUAAACUACCAUCAUAAUUCCAACACCAGACUAAAGCAUGUCUGGCUCCUUCACUUCUACUCUUGCUUCUUAAUGAGCAGAGAGAGGGGCUCUUUUAGAGUGUUUUUAUGGCACUGAUCACUUACAAGGAAGCACAUUGACAGGGCUAAUGCACCAUGCUUCUGUUCUUGUGCUCUUGCCUGCAUUGCUGUGGUGGUGUCAUUCUCUGCAGUGUUUUUUAGGCUUUGAAUAGGAAUGUGUCAAGGCAGUUAUGUUUGGAUUCUGUCUUGUCUGAGUGUUCAUGCAAAGUCUCACUUAGCUAUGGGAGCUGUAGAUGCUGUUCCCUUCCCACCUCCAUUAUUUAGGGCUUGCUACAGCAGAGCUCUCAAGCCUGUACUUUAUUCUGAGCCUGCAGGAGAUUUCACUGAAAGCAGAGUUUAGGUCUCUUUCACAAUAUUUGCUGUGAUUAUUUGGAUGAUUAUCACAGAGACAAACUAAGACAGGUAGAUAGAUCUAGAACCACAGGCAGGAGCCUAGAUUUAAGUGCUUGCAUCUCAGCAGUGGAGGAGUCAAUGGAAGGAUCCUGUAGUGAUGGAAACACAAAGCAGAUGCUCCAGAUGGACUGGUUCCAGGUGUCUGUGUGAAAUGCAUGCCUUAGAUCUCACUGGCAUCUGGAGAGGGGCUGGUCCCACAGAGGGAAGACUCUGCUAGUGACAGGCUCCCAAAUGGCCCUGCCCAUGAGCAGCUCUUCUGCCUGUCAUCCAGCUCAUUCUCUAAUGCUAAUAAAGACAGUGGCUUUAGCCCAGGCUUGUUGUGAUGACUAAGCUAUUAGCAAAUAUGAGGCAGAGAAACACUGAGGCGUUUUCUGCUUUGGGAGGAAAUACUGUUGCACAGUUGAUUUGAGAGCCAAUUUCUGGCACCAGGUCAAAGGCAGUUGCUUUCCCUACUUCCCAGUUAAAGGACUUAUUUAUGGAUGGAUGAGGUGAAGAAGUAAAGAAUCUUGACUUGCUUUUCCUCCUGGAAGGGCUGUCUUGUUGUCCAAGCAAUCGUAUCUCUUCGUUCUGAUUAGGUCUUCCUUUAUUGUAGGAGUGUGCUCAUACCAGCAAUCGUUGUGGCUGUUUUGAUGCUGCAGAGAUGCCAUCUAUCAAAACUGUGACUUUGGUGACUCAUUGUCCUUCUGGGCUGUUCCGGGAUAUGCUAUGGAGCAACCUCUGAUGUUCUGACCUUACAGAUGAGGAAUUGCACCCCGGAUAGAUGAAGUAAUUUGUCUAAGGUUACCCAGGCAAUCUGUGUCAGGGCAAGGAUUCAAGCUUGUCUACAAGUGCCUGCCUUUUGGAACGUUCUUCCUCCCACUGGCAGCACCUCCUAUGGCUGAAAUGCAACAGUUCAUGCAGGAGAAAUGUCUCUUGUACUUUCCAUCUGUCUUUGGGGCGGUGCUAUCACGUACUGCGUGUUUUGUAUACUUGAUGGAGUUUCAACAGAGCUGAAGGUCAUCACUUUCUGCUUUCUCCUUUUGGGUUUCAUUCUGUUACUGUUCUCUUUUUUAUGUCCAGCAAAUACAGACAAACAGGUGUGUUAAUGAUGCAGGGCCAGCCACAUACUUAUCCUGAUCUUUAUCUCUGUGUGCCAACACUCAGGAUCAGGCUCUGUCUUCAGUCCCCUUGCCAUAGUCUUAUCCUGGUGACCACAGGACUUUUCAGUAUCCUUGCCCCAGCAGGUCACAUUCCUGCAGGUCCUCCUUAGAGACUGGUGAUGUCACAGUGACCAUACAUCCAUGUCGUGGGGCUCAAGGGAAGAGAACUCACUUUCAAACCAGCAGUCAGUAUGGCUAUCUGUUCUAUGGAUGUUGUGGCCCUACUUUGUCCAAUGCAUUCCCAAGUCCAAUGUUAAGUGCUUCCUGCCUCUUCUGCAGGACUUUAAAAUAUCCAUUCCCCAUCCAAGACAAGAUUGCUAUGGAAGAACCAGCAGGAACAGGUGGAGAGGCCCUGUUCCACGUGAGAUGUCAGAGAUCAGAUGCAAGAGGCCAGCAUGGAGUGGGAACUUCACGUGAGACUUCUGAUCAGGUAUUGAUAAUGAAGCUGAACUGAUUGAA